rnacentral:rRNA from 1 species
AUAGCGUAUAUUAAAGUUGUUGCAGUUAAAAAGCUCGUAGUUGAACCUUGGGCCUGGCUGGCCGGUCCGCCUAACCGCGUGCACUGGUUCGGCCGGGCCUUUCCUUCCGGCUAGCCUCAUGCCCUUCACUGGGUGUGCUGGGGAUCCGGGACUUUUACUUUGAAAAAAUUAGAGUGUUCAAAGCAGGCCUACGCUCGAAUACAUUAGCAUGGAAUAAUAGAAUAGGACGGCGGUUCUAUUUUGUUGGUUUCUAGAGCCACCGUAAUGAUUAAUAGGGAUAGUCGGGGGCAUCAGUAUUCAAUUGUCAGAGGUGAAAUUCUUGGAUUUAUUGAAGACUAACUACUG